rnacentral:lncRNA from 1 species
CUUCCACCUCUUGCUCACCUCCGGGCGAAAGUUCCGCUACAAAAUCCGCGUACACCUAUCCUUUGAUGGAUCCUCUAGGCUCGUACUGUAUGUCGAAUUCUGACAGUUCCACUGCCCAGCGUACCAUCCUCCCUGCCACAUCGGGUUUCUGCAGCACUUUCUGUAUGGGAAGAUUGGUCAUCACUACCACCGUAAAACUGUGGAAGUAAUGACGGAGCCUCCUAGCCGAGAAAACUACCGCCAGCGCCGCCUUCUCC